UCCCUUGUGUCUCAGCUGGUAAAGAAUCCGUCUGUGAAGCGGGAGACCUGGGUUUGAUCCCUGGAUUGGGAA
rnacentral:tRNA from 1 species